UACGAAGGGGGCUAGCGUUGCUCGGAAUCACUGGGCGUAAAGCGCACGUAGGCGGCAUCUUAAGUCAGGGGUGAAAUCCCGGAGCUCAACUCCGGAACUGCCUUUGAUACUGGCGAUCUUGAGUCCGGGAGAGGUGAGUGGAACUGCGAGUGUAGAGGUGAAAUUCGUAGAUAUUCGCAAGAACACCAGUGGCGAAGGCGGCUCACUGGCCCGGUACUGACGCUGAGGUGCGAAAGCGUGGGGAGCAAACAGG
rnacentral:rRNA from 1 species